rnacentral:rRNA from 1 species
GACUCGGCGAGAAGUCCAUUGAACCUUAUCAUUUAGAGGAAGGAGAAGUCGUAACAAGGUUUCCGUAGGUGAACCUGCGGAAGGAUCAUUGUCGAGACCGAAAUAAACAACGAGCGACCCGGAGAACCCGUGAAAAGACGUGCGGCGUCUGUCGCCCCCUCUCCUCUUGCGGGGGGCGGGGGGGCGGCGGAGGACGGAUCAAAACACAAACCGGCGCAGCAUCGCGCCAAGGGAAAGCUGAAAGGCACGAGCCCCGCGUCGGGCUCGGUGGCGUGGAGUGCUGUUGCACGCCAUGCGGAUGGACACGACUCUCGGCAAUGGAUAUCUCGGCUCUCGCAUCGAUGAAGAGCGCAGCGAAAUGCGAUACGUGGUGCGAAUUGCAGAAUCCCGCGAACCAUCGAGUCUUUGAACGCAAGUUGCGCCUGAGGCCAGCCGGCCGAGGGCACGUCCGCCUGGGCGUCAGGCUUCGCGUCGCUCCGCGCCCGCACCGUUCCGCCAGAUGGGUGUGUGACGGGGCAGGCUCGGAUGUGCAGGGUGGCCCGUCGUGCCGGUCGGUGCGGCGGGCUGAAGAGCGGGCUACGUCUCGCCGGCCACGAACAACAAGGGGUGGGUGAAAGUUGUGAGCGCAGCCUUCGUUGUGUCGGGCUGGCCCGAGAGAUGGAUUGUGCCCUCAAGGUGAUCCCGACCAAUGCGCCGGCUUUGGAAUGCGACCCCAGGAUGGGCGAGGCCACCCGCCGAGUUUAAGCAUAUC